GCGACCAUACCACGUUGGAAACACCGGUUCUCGUCUGAUCACCGAAGUUAAGCAACGUCGGGCCCGGUUAGUACUUGCAUGGGUGACCGGCUGGGAAUA
rnacentral:rRNA from 1 species